UAUUCUCACACACUUUAAAGAUGAUCAAGUUUAUCACAACCCAAAUUAUUUUUUCAACAGCCACCUAUGAGUAUUUUCUCAUGUCUGAACAAUGGCCACCAUCAGUUUGCAAAAAUGGAGAAUGUGUUUCCCAAAAGCGUCCCAAACAUAUUUAAGAUUCAUGGUCUGUGGCCUACAAAUUCAAGCAGACCUUAUCCCGAGAUCCAAGUUCGAGACUUUGGGAAUAUGAAUGGAAUAAACAUGGAACAUGUCCAUUACACAAGAGGAUUGAACCUGCAGGAAUGGUGUGUAUUUUAGUGGAGAUAAUACAAAAGUUGUCCUAGUGAUAUUCGGAAGAGUCUAUGUACAAAUAAUGAUAUCACACUACCUAUUUAAUAUCAUGAACAACGAAAAUAAUAGAAAUAAGGUUGGCAUCAUUUUAUUUGGUGGAAUGAGUGUCCUAAACUUGUACUAUAUGCAUGCAUGUUUAUGUCUUGC
rnacentral:lncRNA from 1 species